rnacentral:rRNA from 1 species
UACGAAGGGGGCUAGCGUUGCUCGGAAUGACUGGGCGUAAAGGGCGCGUAGGCGGCCCGGCAAGUCAACGGUGAAAGCUUGGGGCUCAACCCCGAGUCGGCCGUCGAUACUUCCGGGCUGGAGCACUGUAGAGGCAGGCGGAAUUCCGGGUGUAGCGGUGGAAUGCGUAGAGAUCCGGAAGAACACCGGUGGCGAAGGCGGCCUGCUGGGACAGUGCUGACGCUGAGGCGCGACAGCGGUGGGGAGCAAACAGG